GAUGAACGCUGGCGGCGUGCCUAAUACAUGCAAGUCGAGCGAACAGACGAGGAGCUUGCUCCUCUGACGUUAGCGGCGGACGGGAGAGUAACACGUGGAUAACCUACCUAUAAGACUGGGAUAACUUCGGGAAACCGGAGCUAAUACCGGAUAAUAUAUUGAACCGCAUGGUUCAAUAGUGAAAGACGGUUUUGCUGUCACUUAUAGAUGGAUCCGCGCCGCAUUAGCUAGUUGGUAAGGUAACGGCUUACCAAGGCAACGAUGCGUAGCCGACCUGAGAGGGAGAUUGGGCACACUGUAACUGAGAAACGGUCCAGACACCUACGGGGGGCAGCAGUAGGGAAUCUUCCGCGAUGGGCGAAAGCUUGACGGAGCAAAGCCGCGGGAGUGAUGACGGUCUUCGGAUCGUAAAACUCUGUUAUUAGGGAAGAACAAAUGUGUAAGUACCUAUGCACGUCUUGACGGUACCUAAUCAGAAAGCCACGGCUAACUACGUG
rnacentral:rRNA from 1 species